UCUACCUCUGGGCCCGCCGCUGGGCACAA
rnacentral:sRNA from 1 species